UGAGGAAUAUUGGUCAAUGGGCGCAAGCCUGAACCAGCCAUCCCGCGUGCAGGAAGACGGCCCUAUGGGUUGUAAACUGCUUUUCCAGGGAGAGAAACUUGCGUACGCGUUGCGCAAUUGACGGUACCCUGGGAAUAAGCAUCGGCUAACUCCGUGCCAGCAGCCGCGGUAAUACGGAGGAUGCGAGCGUUAUCCGGAUUCAUUGGGUUUAAAGGGUGCGUAGGCGGACUAUUAAGUCAGUGGUGAAAUCCUGCAGCUUAACUGCAGAACUGCCAUUGAUACUGAUAGCCUUGAGUUUGGUUAAGGUAGGCGGAAUGUGUAAUGUAGCGGUGAAAUGCUUAGAUAUUACACAGAACACCAAUUGCGUAGGCAGCUUACUGAGCCGACACUGACGCUGAGGCACGAAAGCGUGGGGAUCGAACA
rnacentral:rRNA from 1 species